GGUGAAACCCCGGUCUCUUAGCCGGGCGUGGUAGCGGGCGCCUGUAGUCCCAGCGACUCGGGAGGCUGAGGCAGGAGAAUGGCGUGAACCCAGGAGGCGGAGCUUGCAGUGAGCCGAGAUUGUGCCACUGCACUCCAGCCUGGUGACAGAGCAAGACUCCGUCUCAAAAAAAAAAGAGAGAGAGAGGAAAAGACCCUAAACUCAGGAAGUAUCAGUGGGGUUGGAAAGGAGUGGCAAAGGAAGGACUGUUCUUUCACUAGGGACAAAGUACCUCUUAAGCCUCCCUCUGUCUUUGACUCAUACCCCUAAAGAGCAAUGUUUUCACCAUCUCUUCCUAUUGUCCACAACUAUAUUCUUCCUCUGCUCCUAAAUUUCUAAUAAUCUAUCCUUGGUUUCUAUUUCUCUGUUGGACUAUUUGAUUAGCUAGGGACUUAAGUGCAAACAAGUCCACCAGUAGCUAAUGACUUUCAACAACAUGAGCCUUCCAAUUCCAUUUGUGUUCUACUACAUACGAACAGCUUGGUAGCAGUUUGGUUGGCAACUAAAUGAGAGAUAAAUAGUUAAGAAAAUGCCAAGAAAGGAUUAUUUUAGAUUUAC
rnacentral:lncRNA from 10 species